rnacentral:rRNA from 1 species
GUGGGGAAUAUUGGACAAUGGGCGAAAGCCUGAUCCAGCCAUGCCGCGUGUGUGAAGAAGGUCUUCGGAUUGUAAAGCACUUUAAGUUGGGAGGAAGGGCAGUAAGUUAAUACCUUGCUGUUUUGACGUUACCGACAGAAUAAGCACCGGCUAACUUCGUGCCAGCAGCCGCGGUAAUACGAAGGGUGCAAGCGUUAAUCGGAAUUACUGGGCGUAAAGCGCGCGUAGGUGGUUUUGUAAGUUGGAGGUGAAAUCCCCGGGCUCAACCUGGGAACUGCCUCCAAAACUGCAUGACUAGAGUACGGUAGAGGGUAGUGGAAUUUCCUGUGUAGUGGUGAAAUGCGUAGAUAUAGGAAGGAACACCAGUGGCGAAGGCGACUACCUGGACUGAUACUGACACUGAGGUGCGAAAGCGUGGGGAGCAAACAGGAUUAGAUACCCCUGUAGUCC